AUAAUGGUGGUUUUUUUUUCUUCCAUGCUUUCUGGAUUUCUUUAAUGUGAUGGAGGUGUGAUAGGUUUCAGCAAGUUGAGCUGAUAAAAACAGUGAAAAGGACUGAGUCUCUGAGUUAACGUAUGUUGUGUGAAGGUGAAAGCCCACUCUUCUAAAGACAUCCCUACACAUCAACAGGAACUAAAGGUGUCACAGCAUGAGCAAAGAAUUGGGAGUGCGGAGAGGACCUGGAGAU
rnacentral:lncRNA from 1 species